UACGUAGGGGGCUAGCGUUGUCCGGAAUCAUUGGGCGUAAAGAGCGUGUAGGCGGCCCGGUAAGUCCGCUGUAAAAGUCAAAGGCUCAACCUUUGAAUGUCAGUGGAUACUGCCGGGCUAGAGUCCGGAAGAGGCGAGUGGAACUCCUGGUGUAGCGGUGGAAUGCGCAGAUAUCAGGAAGAACACCAACGGCGAAGGCAGCUCGCUAGGACGGUACUGACGCUGAGACGCGAAAAGCGUGGGGAGCGAACAGG
rnacentral:rRNA from 1 species